UGUGUGUGUAUAAAUAUAUACAUACAGAGAGAGAGAGAGAGAGAGGGCGAUUCCUAUACUAUUAAUAACACUAAGUAUUUGGUGCUAUACCAAGUUUUACAUCGGUAAAUAUACUUUUUGAUCAAUUUCAUUCAUUAAAUCAUAAUAUGUAACUAACUACCCACUCAACUCUAAAAACUAAUGUCAUCCUAACCGCACAUUCCUUCAUCCAAGAAUCGAAAAUCUAAUAGCACUAAUAACUUAGUAUUAUAGCCUAGUUAUAUAGAGAGUGUUGGGCAAUAAUUUACGGCCAGGUGGUACGCUGGUGCUCCACUCAACCCCAAUCUUUAAGAAGCUAGGAUUAAAGAAGAUUUUGAUGUGCACCAGGAGCAUCAACAAGAAUAUUGAGUAACCGCCGGGUAUAACUGAGGGAAGUUACAGUAACUGCGAGUGGUUACAAGCGGUUCCGAUCGGCCGAAAGUGGCCCGGAAAAAUAAGAGUAGUGGCCGAUCAAGGAUGGGGAUCAGUAGGGGUGAUCUAUAAAUAGGCAAAUAACGUCCAGAAAAGAGGUAUUUUUUUCGAGAACAGAAGACCACCUUUAUUUCCUCUGUAAUUUCUUCGCAUUUUCUAGGAGUAGACUACUUGUAAUCUUUUACUCUCCCAUAUUUACUGUUUUCUUAGAAGUAGAUUUAGGGUUGAUCAACCGAGUCUGUAUGCCCUCAGGAACACUCGUUUCUUGUACUAGUUCUACGAGUUAAUUCCAAUAUAUAUAAAGGCAUUCGGCUCUUCAACCGACCCAAAGUACAGUGUAUUCUGUACAUUCGGCUCAUCCAGCCGAACCGAAUUUA
rnacentral:lncRNA from 1 species